GUCACAAAACAUACUGGCAUUCUAAUCUAGAAGCCAACUUUCAAACAGUGUUUCUUUCUUCCAGGUGUUGAAAGCUUCCCCUCUUGAAGGAAGACAUUAUGAGGAAGAGACUUUAUAAACCAGAAUUGGGAAAUAAUGCCCUUCAGCUUUGACUAAGAAAGUUGGCUGAGCCCCUUAGACUCCUACUCCUUCAUUCCAAUUCUUACACUGAUGGGACUUGGACAAACAAGCUGGUUCCAGUGAGUUUCAUCAUUGUAUUCAAAUUUCUAGCUAAAGAAGACCAAGCCAAGAUGAGAGCAAGAUUUGUAGAACAGAGGGACUUUGUCUGAGAUUGCUCUGUCAUUAAAGAGAGAGCGGGUACCUGACCUGAAACCACAGCCUAUCCUCUCAGAAACUAUCCUCCUGAGAUGCCUGGGUGGCUCCGUGGUUGAGCAUCUGCCUUUGGCUCAGGGUGUGAUCCCAGAGUCCUGGGAUGGAGUCCCACAUCAGGCUCCCUGCAUGGAGCCUAUUUCUCUC